UCCUACGGGAGGCAGCAGUGGGGAAUAUUGCACAAUGGGCGCAAGCCUGAUGCAGCAACGCCGCGUGAGGGACGAAGGCCUUCGGGUUGUAAACCUCUUUUAGUAGGGAAGAAGCGACUGGGUUUUCCUGGGAGUGACGGUACCUGCAGAAAAAGCACCGGCUAACUACGUGCCAGCAGCCGCGGUAAUACGUAGGGUGCAAGCGUUGUCCGGAAUUAUUGGGCGUAAAGAGCUCGUAGGCGGUUUGUCGCGUCUGCUGUGAAAACCCGAGGCUCAACCUCGGGCCUGCAGUGGGUACGGGCAGACUAGAGUGCGGUAGGGGAGAUUGGAAUUCCUGGUGUAGCGGUGGAAUGCGCAGAUAUCAGGAGGAACACCAAUGGCGAAGGCAGAUCUCUGGGCCGUAACUGAC
rnacentral:rRNA from 1 species